rnacentral:rRNA from 1 species
GACGAACGCUGGCGGCGUGCUUAACACAUGCAAGUCGAACGGAAAGGCCCUGCUUUGGUGGGGUGCUCGAGUGGCGAACGGGUGAGUAACACGUGAGUAACCUGCCCUUGACUUUGGGAUAACUUCAGGAAACUGGGUCUAAUACCGGAUACGAGCUCCUGCUGCAUGGGGGGUGUCGGGAAGGUUCGUCGGUUGGGGAUGGACUCGCGGCUUAUCAGCUUGUUGGUGGGGUAGUGGCUUACCAAGGCUUUGACGGGUAGCCGGCCUGAGAGGGUGACCGGCCACAUUGGGACUGAGAUACGGCCCAGACUCCUACGGGAGGCAGCAGUGGGGAAUAUUGCACAAUGGGCGGAAGCCUGAUGCAGCAACGCCGCGUGCGGGAUGACGGCCUUCGGGUUGUAAACCGCUUUCGCCUGUGACGAAGCGUGAGUGACGGUAAUGGGUAAAGAAGCACCGGCUAACUACGUG